rnacentral:rRNA from 1 species
AUACGAAAGGUGCGAGCGUUGUUCGGAUUUACUGGGCGUAAAGCGAGUGUAGGUGGUUUGUUAAGUCGGAUGUGAAAUCCCGGGGCUCAACCUCGGAACUGCAUUCGAUACUGGCAGGCUAGAGUUCGGGAGGGGUAAGUGGAAUUCCGUGUGUAGCAGUGAAAUGCGUAGAUAUACGGAGGAACACCUGAGGCGAAGGCGGCUUACUGGACCGAUACUGACACUGAGACUCGAAAGCGUGGGUAGCAAACAGGAUUAGAUACCCUAGUAGUCC